AGCAGCCGCGGUAAUUCCAGCUCCAAUAGCGUAUAUUAAAGUUGUUGCAGUUAAGAAGCUCGUAGUUGAAUUUCGGGAUCAAUAUAUUGGUCGUGCCUCCGGUACGUACUGGUAUCGUUGAUUUCUACCUUCUGACGAACUAUGAUGUCAUUAAUUUGGUGUCAUGGGAAAUCAGGACUGUUACUUUGAAAAAAUUAGAGUGUUUAAAGCAGGCACACGCUUGAAUACAUUAGCAUGGAAUAAUGAAAUAGGACGUUUGACCCUAUUUUGUUGGUUUCUAGGAUCGACGUAAUGAUUAAUAGGGAUAGUUGGGGGCAUUAGUAUUCAAUUGUCAGAGGUGAAAUUCUUGGAUUUAUUGAAGACUAACUACUGCGAAAGCAUUUGCCAAGGAUGUUUUCAUUAAUCAAGAACGAAAGUUAGGGGAUCGAAGACGAUCAGAUACCGUCGUAG
rnacentral:rRNA from 1 species